GGGCAUUUGGCACAGUGGUAGCGCGCACGCUUCGCAUCUUUGGUAUUUGGGGUAAUGCUUGCGUGAGGUCCAGGGUUCAAUCCCCUGAAUGUCCA